rnacentral:rRNA from 1 species
AUUGAACUGAAGAGUUUGAUCCUGGCUCAGAUUGAACGCUGGCGGCAUGCCUUACACAUGCAAGUCGAACGGCAGCACGGGCUUCGGCCUGGUGGCGAGUGGCGAACGGGUGAGUAAUACAUCGGAACAUGUCCUGUAGUGGGGGAUAGCCCGGCGAAAGCCGGAUUAAUACCGCAUACGAUCUGAGGAUGAAAGCGGGGGACCUUCGGGCCUCGCGCUAUAGGGUUGGCCGAUGGCUGAUUAGCUAGUUGGUGGGGUAAAGGCCUACCAAGGCGACGAUCAGUAGCUGGUCUGAGAGGACGACCAGCCACACUGGGACUGAGACACGGCCCAGACUCCUACGGGAGGCAG